rnacentral:rRNA from 1 species
UACGUAGGGGGCAAGCGUUAUCCGGAUUUACUGGGUGUAAAGGGAGCGUAGACGGUUAUGCAAGUCUGAAGUGAAAGCCCAAGGCUCAACCAUGGGACUGCUUUGGAAACUGUAAAACUGGAGUGCAGGAGAGGUAAGCGGAAUUCCUAGUGUAGCGGUGAAAUGCGUAGAUAUUAGGAGGAACACCAGUGGCGAAGGCGGCUUACUGGACUGUAACUGACGUUGAGGCUCGAAAGCGUGGGGAGCAAACAGG